rnacentral:tRNA from 2 species
GCGGGAAUGGCGGAAUAGGGAGACGCACUAGACUUAGGAUCUAGCACCAAAAAUGGUUUUGCGAGUUCAAGUCUCGCUUCCCGCA